AUUGAACGCUGGCGGCAUGCUUUACACAUGCAAGUCGAACGGCAGCGCGGGCUUUGGCCUGGCGGCGAGUGGCGAACGGGUGAGUAAUACAUCGGAACGUGCCCAGUAGUGGGGGAUAGCUCGGCGAAAGCCGGAUUAAUACCGCAUACGACCUGAGGGUGAAAGCGGGGGAUCUUCGGACCUCGCGCUAUUGGAGCGGCCGAUGGCAGAUUAGCUAGUUGGUGGGGUAAAGGCCUACCAAGGCGACGAUCUGUAGCUGGUCCGAGAGGACGACCAGCCACACUGGGACUGAGACACGGCCCAGACUCCUACGGGAGGCAGCAGUGGGGAAUUUUGGACAAUGGGCGAAAGCCUGAUCCAGCAAUGCCGCGUGUGUGAUGAAGGCCUUCGGGUUGUAAAGCACUUUUGGCGGGAACGAAAAGGACUGUGCCAAUACCACGGUUCGAUGACGGUACCCGCAGAAUAAGCACCGGCUAACUACGUG
rnacentral:rRNA from 1 species